UAAGGGGGUGAUGGCGUGCCUUUUGUAGAAUGAACCGGCGAGUUACUUUAUCAUGCGAGGUUAAGUGGAAGACAUGGAGCCGAAGCGAAAGCGAGUCUUAAUAGGGCGAAAUAGUAUGAUGGAGUAGACCCGAAACCAAGUGAUCUACCCAUGGCCAGGUUGAAGUUUAGGUAACACUGAAUGGAGGACCGAACCAGGACACGUUGAAAAGUGUUUGGAUGAGCUGUGGGUAGCGGAGAAAUUCCAAUCGAACUUGGAAAUAGCUGGUUCUCUCCGAAAUAGCUUUAGGGCUAGCCUCGUUGUGAGUUUACUGGAGGUAGAGCACUGUUUGGACUAGGGGCCCAUCCCGGGUUACCGAAUUCAGACAAACUCCGAAUGCCAGAUAAAUAUCAACGGGAGUCAGACUGCGGGUGAUAAGGUUCGUAGUCGAAAGGGAAACAGCCCAGACCGCCAGCUAAGGUCCCAAAUUGUAUGUUAAGUGGAAAAGGAUGUGAUGAUGCACAGACAACCAGGAUGUUGGCUUAGAAGCAGCCACCAUUUAAAGAGUGCGUAAUAGCUCACUGGUCGAGUGACAUCGCGCCGAAAAUGUACCGGGGCUAAACAUACAACCGAAGUUGCGGAUAUAACUAAUGUUAUAUGGUAGGAGAGCGUUCUAACAUCAUAGAAGCCGAGCUGGAAGGUGAGGUGGAGAGGUUAGAAGUGAGAAUGCCGGUGUGAGUAGCGAAAGAUAGGUGAGAAUCCUAUCCACCGAAAGACUAAGGUUUCCAGAGGAAGGCUCGUCCGCUCUGGGUAAGUCGGGACCUAAGGUGAAGCCGACAGGUGAAGCCGAUGGACAACAGGUAGAAAUUCCUGUACCACCAAAUAUCGAUUGAGAGAAGUGGGGACAGAGGAGGCUAAUUGAUCGUCCUGAUGGAAUAGGACGUCUAAGCACAAAGGUUGAGUAGUAGGCAAAUCCGCUGCUUGAGAAGACUGAAGUGUGAUGGGGAGCGAAAUUAAAGUAGCGAAGUCAAUGAAGCCAAACUUUCAAGAAAAGCCGCUAUCGAGAUAAGAGGUGCCCGUACCGCAAACCGACACAGGUAGUUGGGAAGAGAAUUCUAAGGUGAGCGAGAGAACCAUCGUUAAGGAACUCGGCAAAAUGACCCCGUAACUUCGGGAGAAGGGGUGCCUACGAGAGUAGGCCGCAGUGAAUAGGCCCAAGCGACUGUUUAACAAAAACACAGGUCUCUGCAAAACCGAAAGGUGAAGUAUAGGGGCUGACGCCUGCCCGGUGCUGGAAGGUUAAGAGGAGUGCUUAGGAGUAAUCCGAAGGUAUGAAUUGAAGCCCCAGUAAACGGCGGCCGUAACUAUAACGGUCCUAAGGUAGCGAAAUUCCUUGUCGGGUAAGUUCCGACCCGCACGAAAGGCGUAACGAUUUGGGCACUGUCUCAACGAUGGACUCGGUGAAAUCAUAGUACCUGUGAAGAUGCAGGUUACCCGCGACAGGACGGAAAGACCCCAUGGAGCUUUACUGUAGCUUGAUAUUGAAUUUUGAUGCAGUAUGUACAGGAUAGGUAGGAGCCUAAGAAUCAUGCACGCCAGUGUAUGAGGAGGCGUUGUUGGGAUACUACCCUUGCUGUAUUGAAAUUCUAACCCUCGGCGAAGACCGGGAGACAGUGUCAGGUGGGCAGUUUGACUGGGGCGGUCGCCUCCCAAAGAGUAACGGAGGCGUUCAAAGGUUCCCUCAGAAUGGUUGGAAAUCAUUUGCAGAGUGUAAAGGCACAAGGGAGCUUGACUGUGAGACUUACAAGUCGAGCAGGUGCG
rnacentral:rRNA from 1 species